UACGGGGGGGGCAAGCGUUGUUCGGAAUUACUGGGCGUAAAGGGCGCGUAGGCGGUUUGCUAAGUUGAAUGUGAAAACUCUGGGCUUAACCCAGAGCCUGCAUUCAAUACUGGCAGGCUAGAGUUCUGGAGGGGAUAGCGGAAUUCCUGGUGUAGCGGUGAAAUGCGUAGAUAUCAGGAGGAACACCAGUGGCGAAGGCGACUCACUGGCCCGAUACUGACGCUGAGGCGCGAAAGCGUGGGGAGCAAACAGG
rnacentral:rRNA from 1 species